UACGGAGUUAGCCGGUCCUUAUUCUUACGGUACCGUCAAUUUCGAACACGUUCGAAGGUUUCUUCCCGUAUAAAAGCAGUUUACACACCAUAGAUGCUUCAUCCUGCACGCGGCAUGGCUGGUUCAGGCUUGCGCCCAUUGACCAAUAUUCCUCACUGCUGCCUCCCGUAGGAGUCUGGUCCGUGUCUCAGUACCAGUGUGGGGGAUCUCCCUCUCAGGACCCCUACCAUCGUCGCCUUGGUAAGCCGUUACCUUACCAACUAGCUAAUGGGACGCAUGCUCAUCUUUCACCGUUGUUACUUUAAUAUAAAAGUGAUGCCACUAAUAUAUACUAUAAGGUAUUAAUCCAAAUUUCUCUGGGCUAUCCCUUUGUGAAAGGCAGAUUGCAUACGCGUUACGCACCCGUGCGCCGGUCUCUAAAGUGCAAGCACUUUUAUACCCCUCGACUUGCAUGUGUUAAGCCUGCCGCUAGCGUUCAUCCUGAGCCAGGAAUCAAACUC
rnacentral:rRNA from 1 species